AGUCUCCUUAUAUCCUUUUAAUGCUGAAAGGAUCUGAUGCAAUUGAAGCCUUCGUUAACAAUAUCAGAAGCCAACCAAUUUUCAAGUUCUCUUUUCUGCUUGCAAUAUCUCUGUCCUGUUGGUUGUAAAAUUGGUUCAAGGAUAGACUUGAAGGAGGGUAUGAUGGUCACUAUGGAAUGCGAUGACUUAGUUUUCCACCAGGAAAUUGUCAAUUUUCCUUCGA